UCUAAAAUGCGUGGUCAUUUUCUGGAGCUUCGGGAAAGUACACCCCCUCCCCUUCCGCUUCCCCGUCAAAGCCUCCCUUUCAAGUAGGGGACGGGGUACGAAGAGAGGUGUCAUUUCCCCAGUGUGGGAGAAGAGCUCAGAGGCACCCUACGGUGAAUCCACACCGUUACCCGCCGGGGGUAACCUCUGCGGCCGGGACCGUGAGAAGAUCGACUUGUCAGCGACCGGCGGGCACGGUGCGCCCACGCCCGGGGCUCUCAGACACCCCACAUGGGCGCACACGCGGAACCGCCUCCCGGCGGCUUGGGAACCCGACGCUGAGGCCAGGGCGAGCGGCAGGGAAUUUUUUUUUUUAACAGCCAGAAAGCGUUUGAAAUUGAGAGUGAAACGAACAAGCCCGUGAAGAGAUGAACGACCUGGAAAAAUCAGAGUCAACUCAGAGAAGGGCUAAAAAGUAAGACUGAAGCCUAAAGACUAGGAAGAGAAGUAAAGAGAAGGUGCUUUGGUCUACUCGGGCCGGGCCAUGCGGGGGUCGCCCGGCUUUCUGGCAAUGUUGCGGGAAAAUACACCUUCGGCUUUCGCGCGUUUUCCUGAGCCCAGAGAGGAUCGCGCGGGGACCCAACCGCCCGGGCUGGAGACGCGUUAACCGCAUCGCAAAUUAGGCCCUGCAGCAGAAAUCCUUUUCUCCCUAAAGUCGGGGGGCGGGGGCGGGAAGGGCGGGGUCUCGCGGCCCAGACUCGAGCCGAGUCUUCAUCAGAACUGGAUCUGAAUUUUAAAAUCGAGUUUCCAGUUCUGAUUCCCAGACCCCAGCUGUCUAGGACCAGAGACGACCUCAACUGCUCAUGGACGAAUGUGGGUGGACGCGAAUGUGGCCAGUUCUGUUUGGUACCUGCGGGAGAGGGAGAUCUGCGCGCCCGUGGGGUUUAGGGGUACCUGAUUGCACCUGCCUUUAGAGAGAGAGAGACGGUCCAGGGUCCGAGUGUGGCAAUUUGGGGUAGGAACUCGAAGGCUCUAGGAGCACAGACCGCUCCCACAGCCCCGCCCCACUCGGCUGUUAACAGCCGUGAUGGAAGGGCCUCUCUGUGUCUGUCUCCCUCCCUUACACGCAGAGCCCCGCACCCUAGGGGGCUCGGCUCGUCUCCCCAGCCUCUCCGAUUGCCCUACAGCUUGGGAUAGAUACCCUCAGAGCUAUAGGUAAAGCUGAGUCCCCAGCACCCUGAUUCCUCUCCCCAGAACCAGAGCCUCAUCGGGACACACACUCGUCCCCCAAGCUUCGGGGCCCAGGACCCCGCGGAGAGCGGCCUUGGAAGUCGGCCCCCAACCCCAACCCCACUCCCGCCCCCGGCCCGUCGGGUAGCCUGGAGGUCCUACGCAGGGUCCUAGGGGAUGCCGCCUAGGACCUCAGCGAAUUUCCAGCGAAGUCGCGCGGGAAGCGUGGGGCCGUUGUUUUUGCUUUACUUUUCACCCUGGUAACGGACUUCCCGGCCCCACCUCCACGCCCCCACACCCCGCCCUCCUGCCCACGUACCCGCAGGUAGACCCGGGGCGGCCAGGUAAACCCCGGGCGUGUCCUAACAGCCCGUAGAACACCGCGAGAGCAGGAGGAAGGGCGUUUGCAAAUUUGCAUGAAAGCCAUUUGAGCGCCUCUACAUAUCUUUUCUAGCUGCUCGUCCACUGCCCUCGAGUGAACGCCACCCUUAUAAAGCGAAACAAGGAGAUGGGGGAGAACCGUGAAAGCUACCCGCUCCCUCCGCCCCCUCCCCCCCACCAGUUUUUUUCCCCUUUGUGAAAUGCCUACAGAAAUCUUUAACCAGUUUACAUUUUAAACUAGGAAUCCAUUAAUACACCCAAGCCAGAUUUGUGGAGGUUUAUGUCCUGUCGUUAGGAGGAAAUUCAGCUUGGAGCGUAGGUAAACAAACAGCCAGACCAGCCUCCGCAACACAAUACCACAGAAGGGUAAUUAAGCAAGAAAAGUCCACAACCCCAGGUCGGUUUAUUUUUAUUACCAUGGUACCUCCCGCUUCUCUCGCUAAACCUGCUUCAUUCUAAUAAUUCUUGGUUCUGAAUACCCAAGUCACACCUGGGUAGAAACGCUGUCAGCUGUUCGCAGAAGUCUGAGCGUCGCCCUCCCACGGAAACUCGAAAAGCGAUAAGAAUCUUGACAGAGAAGUCCGUCCACCCCCUGGUGAAUGAAGCUCUUAUCCAAGGAAAACAAAAACGACUGCCUCUCGCCUCCCUGCCCCCAGCCCCCAGGAGGACUGUGAAACCUGCCUGGGUGGAGAGAGACACCGGGGAAGGAGCCGGGGAAGGCGACAGCCCCGGGGAAACACGAGGAGGCAUCAUAUCGUGGGCUCUGGAAUGUGGCAGGUGGCGCUUUGAUUCGGGAUUCAGCCCAUCGUCUUGUGGCACAUCUUCAGCCGUGUCGUCUUGGAUAAGUCAUUUCACUCUCUGCCUAAGUUUCGUCAGCUGAAAAACGGCGCUCAUAAAGGCAUCUAACACAUAAGGAUUCCCUGAGGAUGGGACACACAGCCAGUCUUCGGAGACACCUGGGCCGGGAAGAUCCCACAUACCGCGGGACAGCUGAACCCAUGUGCUGCAACCGCUGAAGCCCGGAUGCUCUAGAGCCUGUGCUUCGCAAUCACAGAAGGCACCGCAGUGAGAAGCCCUUGCACCUCAACUAGAGAAUAGCCCCUCUUGCCACAACUAGAGGAAAGCCCACACAGCAAUGAAGACCCAGCA